rnacentral:rRNA from 1 species
CAAUCUGUGAAAACUGUCUGGGGGAUGGUUUGGUUUGAGAGCCGAUGAAGGACGUGCCAAGCUGCGAAAUGUCUUGGGGAGGCGCAAGGAGCCCUUGAUCCGAGAAUGUCCGAAUGGGACUUCCUGUCGUAAGACACUCCGAAAGGAGAGGGAACUCAGGGAAUUGAAACAUCUUAGUACCUGAAGGAAAAGAAAUCAAUUGAGAUACCGUUAGUAAAGGCGAUCGAAAGCGGUAUAAGGCAAACCGAAUUUUCUUUUGAAGAAAAGGAAAAGUUGUGGUGUAUGGACUCUUCCCAACAUCUAGUAUACGAAUCAGAAUGGCCUGGAAAGGUCAACCAAAGAAGGUGAUAGUCCUGUAAGAGUAAGUAUAAAGGUUACGAGGAAGAAGUUCCGGAGUACCGUGCGUCGUUAUUCGCGCGGGAAGAUGGGUGGCAUCAACAUCCAACCUUAAAUACUUCUCAAGUCCGAUAGCGUACAAGUACCGUGAGGGAAAACUGAAAAGCAACCCGGAAGGGUAGUGAAAAGUACCUGAAACCAGACAGUGAUAAACUUAUAGGGCGCUAAAGCGGUGAUCUUCCUAACACGAAGUGAGCGGCGUUCUAUUAUCCGUGUUGAAGAACGGGCCAGGGAGUUUUGUUGAGUGGCGAGGUUAACUCUUAUGAGAGGUAGCCGUAGCGAAAGCAAUUACACGCACAGCAAUGGAGGUGUAACGUAAUAAAUGCGUCAGUCACUUGAGGAAGACCCGAAUCCGGUCGAUCUACACCUGAGUAGGUUGAAGCUAAGUGAAAACUUGGUGGAGGACCCAACUGGUUCUGAUGUGCAAAUCGUUCAGAUGACUUGGGUGUAGGGGUCAAAGGCCAAUCUAGGCCGGUAAUAGCGGGUUCCCCCCGAUACUACCCGCAGGUAGACCUCAGCAGAGAUGUUGGGCGAGGUAGAGCGACCGAAUAGUUGGUUAGCUGAUGAAAAUCAGCGUCGACUUAUCGAACUCCGAACUUGUCCAAAUCGUAGAAGCUGGGUGCUAGGGUACAGGGAUAAGCUCUGUACCCGUGAAGGGAACAUCCUAGACGAGGGUUAAGGUCCCUAAAACUAACUAAGUGCAAAUUAAAGAGGUUAAUGGCCUAAGACAGUGUGGAGGUAGGCUUAGAAGCAGCCAUCCUUCAAAGAGUGCGUAACAGCUCACUCACCGAGGCUAUUUGCCUCGAAGAUGGAAGGGGCUAAAGUUAGUUACCGAGACCUUCGAGCACCGAAAGGUGAUCUGGUAGGGGGGCGUGCCAUUUGGGCGGAAGCUUCUUCGAGAGGAGGAGUGGACCGAAUGGCAUCGCGGAUCUUGGUAAAAGUAGCAGAUAAGAAUUGUGAGAAUCAAUUCCGCCGAAAGGGCUAAGGGUUCCUUGGCAAUGUUCGUCAGCCGAGGGUUAGUCGAUCCUAAGGUUAUUCCUAACAGGAGAUGACCGAAUGGGAAGACGGUUAAUAUUCCGUCACCAUGAAUGUUUUGCCAUUAAUGAAGGUUCGAGAUAAGGGGAGUACACUUGCCUGUGUAUUUCUAAUUAUAAGUGGAUGGAGAGUUGUAAUGACGUAAAGUCUGCAAAAAAUUAGCAGUUCCCGUUUGGGAAUUCCUUUAAUUCUUGGAUCCUGUGAAAACCAUUAAUGGGUCAAGUUCAUGUUCGUACCAAGAACCGACACAGGUGCCCCUGGAUGAGAAGUCCAAGGCGUUUGGGAAUAAUGGACGCGAGGGAACUCGGCCAAAUAGCUCCGUAUCUUCGGUAGAAGGAGUGCCUGUUCCGAGAGGGAACAGGUCGCAGUGGCAAGGGGACCCCGACUGUUUACCAAAAACACAGGCCGCUGCUAGUUCGAAAGGAUGUGUAUAGCGGUCGAAACCUGCCCAGUGUCGGUACCUGAAAGUCCCGUUCAAGGGAAAGAAGGGCCGAUAAACGGCGGGGGUAACUAUGACCCUCUUAAGGUAGCGUAAUACCUAGCCGCUUAAUUGGCGGCUUGCAUGAAGGUUCAACGAGAGUCCCACUGUCCCCGCGUUCAGCCCCGUGAAAUUGAUGCACUGGUGCACAAUCCAGUAUCUCCCACAUGAAAGCGAAGUCCCCGUGGAGCUUUACUGCAGCCUGUAGCUGUAAUACGGU